ensembl:lncRNA
AGCUAAUGAGCUGUAAUAAGGUGUGACGGGAAACUGAGGCACGGGUUAGAGCCAACCGUCGGUCCCCACGAGCCCCCUGGAGCCUCCAUUGCCCUCCCCGGGGCUUUUCCGAGCUCGCUUCGAAGCCGUCGCUCUCGCCCCUUUCGUUUCCGGCUUCGGAGGUUUCGCUCUUCGCUCAAAACCCGAAGGGGAAAUUCCCACCCCCAAAUUUGCUGCUGCUCGACUUUCAGGACCCGCCGCUCCCAGCUCGGCGUCACCGUGGCCACCGGGCAGGGCCAGGACGGUCCCACCACGCUUCGUCCUGGUGGCACCAGUCUGGGGGAAAUGAGAAGGAGUGGAGACCCGAAGAACCCUUGCAGGGGUGGAAUGAAAUCCAUGACAAAAUCUUCGCAGGUGGUUGUUCCCCCUCCUCUCCCCUGCCCAGGUGUGAUGGAGAUGGAGGAGGUGUUCCUGCAGCUCUGGGCGGAGGUGGCCAGGCUGCAGGAGCUGUGCUCGGAGCAGGGGAGGCUCCUCCAGAGGCUGAGGGUCAGGAAAGGACCGGUCCUGGACAUCCCAGUGUCGCUGCCUGUCCAGUGCACAGAGGAUGUGGUGACAGGGGACGGGCAAAGGUCACCUGAGAGCCGCCAGAAGCAGCCAGGAGCUCUGACAUCCUCCACAUCCCACCUGGAGGGCUCUGCUUAUCCCGUGGGACAACCCCGGGCCACCACCAGCUUCCCCCCGAGCCCUGGGCACGGCGCCGGGGCCGCAGGAGUUGCAGCUUUUGGCAGCACCGAGGGGGACAAGGGGGAAGUGCCCGCCCCGAGGAGAACCUGGAUCCUCCCCGUCCCCUGGGAUGGAGGGAGAGCUCCCUGCAGCCCUCGGCAGCCGCAGACACUACAUCCAGGUGCUGGGGCCUCCUUCCCAAAUCUUCUGGAUCUCUACGAAGCCCCAGCAGCGCUUGAGAGGGAAGAUGCUCCCGGGGAUGUGGCUCUGGUGGAGAUCCGAGGGCCUGUGAAGGUAACUGGGGAAGCUGGUGGGGAAUUCGGUCCAUGGCAUCAGGGAUGCUUCACCCUCCUCCCCAUCAGUCCUGGACACACGGGAAGUGUGGCAGAGUGGGGUUGUUUCCUUAAAAAGUCUCUGGGCAGUCAAUUUGCUGGUUCCCAGGGGAAUUUGGUACAGGAAAGCCCCUGAGGUCUGGCUGCCCAGCCAGGACAUCCCUCCCGUGGUCCUCACGGAGGCUUUGAGGAUCCCUUGGGGGAAAAGAUCUCUCAACCUCCUUUGAAUCUUCCGGUUAAAGUUCUCUAAAGUAUUUCCUUCAUUCACUCUGAUCUCCACACCCCAAAACACAUUUCCAAAUAAUUCCAAAUGAUUCCUGUCAUUCUGAAAGGAUUUCUACAGACCUCCCUGAACUCUGGCCCCUCAGGCCUCUUGGUGAACCUUCACCCCAGUCCUGGCCUUCCCCCGCCAGGGUCCCAUUUUCUUUCAUUCCUUAUCCUAUAUGAAGCCCUUAUAAAAUUCUUAAUGGCUUCAGGGCCUGGGUAUUCCUGGGGAUACCUCCUGAUUUUGGGCUAUAUUUUGGAGGGAGUUUUUAAAGGAGAAGGGGGAAGUGGGGCUGUGUCAGC